GACGAACGCUGGCGGCGUGCCUAAUACAUGCAAGUAGAACGCACAGUUUAUACCGUAGCUUGCUACACCAUAGACUGUGAGUUGCGAACGGGUGAGUAACGCGUAGGUAACCUGCCUGGUAGCGGGGGAUAACUAUUGGAAACGAUAGCUAAUACCGCAUAAUAUUAAUUAUUGCAUGAUAAUUAAUUGAAAGGUGCAAUUGCACCACUAUCAGAUGGACCUGCGUUGUAUUAGCUAGUAGGUGAGGUAACGGCUCACCUAGGCGACGAUACAUAGCCGACCUGAGAGGGGGAUCGGCCACACUGGGACUGAGACACGGCCCAGACUCCUACGGGAGGCAGCAGUAGGGAAUCUUCGGCAAUGGACGAAAGUCUGACCGAGCAACGCCGCGUGAGUGAAGAAGGUUUUCGGAUCGUAAAGCUCUGUUGUAAGAGAAGAACGGGUGUGAGAGUGGAAAGUUCACACUGUGACGGUAUCUUACCAGAAAGGGACGGCUAACUACGUG
rnacentral:rRNA from 1 species